CUGCAAGCCCCCAGCAUGGUUGGGUCUGGGGUGACCCAGCAGUGCUUGAAAGAACAUUGUGAAAUGGUUUGACGCCUUGCUUUGCUCCAUCCAGAGCAAGAUGAUAGAAAUUUCAACAGUU
rnacentral:snoRNA from 1 species